rnacentral:rRNA from 1 species
CCUACGGGGGGCUGCAGUAGGGAAUAUUGCACCAUGGGCGAAAGCCUGAUGCAGCAACGCCGCGUGAGUGAUGAAGGCCUUCGGGUUGUAAAACUCUUUUCAAGGGGAAGAGGAAGGACGGUACCCUUGGAAUAAGCAUCGGCUAAUUACGUCCCAGCAGCCGCGGUAACACUAAGGAUGCAAGCGUUCUUCGGAUUUACUGGGCGUAAAGCGCGUGUAGGCGGUUAGGAGAGUUGGAUGUGAAAGCUCCCGGCUUAACUGGGAGAGGUCGUUCAAAACUUCCUGACUAGAGUUUGGUAGAGGAAAGUGGAAUUCCGGGUGUAGUGGUGAAAUGCGUAGAUAUCCGGAGGAACACCAGUGGCGAAAGCGAUUUUCUGGACCGAUACUGACGCUCAGACGCGAAAGCUAGGGUAGCAAACGGGAUUAGAUACCCCUGUAGUC